GACCGGGAUAACCCUGGGAAACUGGGGAUAAUACUGGAUAGGCAAUUUUUCCUGUAAUGGUUUUUUGUUUAAAUGUUUUUUCGCCUAAGGAUGGGUCUGCGGCCGAUUAGGUAGUUGGUUAGGUAAUGGCUUACCAAGCCGUUGAUCGGUACGGGUUGUGAGAGCAAGAGCCCGGAGAUGGAACCUGAGACAAGGUUCCAGGCCCUACGGGGUGCAGCAGGCGCGAAACCUCCGCAAUGUGAGAAAUCGCGACGGGGGGAUCCCAAGUGCCAUUCUUAACGGGACGGCUUUUCAUUAGUGUAAAAAGCUUUUGGAAUAAGAGCUGGGCAAGACCGGUGCCAGCCGCCGCGGUAACACCGGCAGCUCUAGUGGUAGCAAUUUUUAUUGGGCCUAAAGCGUCCGUAGCCGGUUUAAUAAGUCUCUGGUGAAAUCCUGCAGCUUAACUGUGGGAAUUGCUGGAGAUACUAUUAGACUUGAGACCGGGAGAGGUUAGAGGUACUCCCAGGGUAGAGGUGAAAUUCUGUAAUCCUGGGAGGACCGCCUGUUGCGGAGGCGUCUAACUGGAACGGUUCUGACGGUGAGGGACGAAAGUUAGGGGCGCGAACCGGAUUAGAUACCCGGGUAGUCCUAACUGUAAACGAUGCGGACUUGGUGUUGGGGUGGCUUUGAGCUGCUCCAGUGCCGAAGGGGAGCUGUUAAGUCCGCCGCC
rnacentral:rRNA from 1 species